UUUGCUUCUUUAGACGCAACAGCUGCACUUAAGACCACCGUAUCGCCAUAGCGCACCAAAACGGCACCAUUGGCUUGUUUGGCCAUUUGACCAAUUUCAACUUCUAGUGGGCGUCCGCCCCAAGUUGUUUUGAAUACUUGUUUUUCUGUCAUGUUUUGCUCCUUUGGGCUGAUCCAAGUAAG
rfam:Enterococcus sp. 8G7_MSG3316 scaffold00001, whole genome shotgun sequence.